rnacentral:rRNA from 1 species
CCUACGGGCGGCUGCAGUGGGGAAUAUUGGACAAUGGGCGAAAGCCUGAUCCAGCCAUGCCGCGUGUGUGAAGAAGGCCUUCGGGUUGUAAAGCACUUUCAGUGGGGAAGAAAGCCUUGGGGCUAAUACCCUCGAGGAAGGACAUCACCCACAGAAGAAGCACCGGCUAACUCCGUGCCAGCAGCCGCGGUAAUACGGAGGGUGCGAGCGUUAAUCGGAAUUACUGGGCGUAAAGCGCGCGUAGGCGGUCUAAUAAGCCGGUUGUGAAAGCCCCGGGCUCAACCUGGGAACGGCAUCCGGAACUGUCAGGCUAGAGUGCAGGAGAGGAAGGUAGAAUUCCCGGUGUAGCGGUGAAAUGCGUAGAGAUCGGGAGGAAUACCAGUGGCGAAGGCGGCCUUCUGGACUGACACUGACGCUGAGGUGCGAAAGCGUGGGUAGCAAACAGGAUUAGAUACCCUGGUAGUC